UUAGGUCUAUAAACCUUCGGACUACUGAACCUUCGGAUCAUUGAACCUUCGGACUGUUGAACCUUCGGACUAUAGAGAUGUAACCCCUCCAGCCUUUAGAAGAGAAAUACUCCACGAUGAGGAAGAUUUGUUUGUUGCAGCAGUAUCUUUUACUUCUAAUACUCGGCUGUUCAACGAAUUAUUGUGCUCGUAUUCUUUCAAAGGACAGAACUAUACCAGUAAUUGGUCAGCCACUGACUCUAACAUACAACAAUAAUGAGAUAACAGACAUUACAGAUACAGUUCGUUUCUUUGUGAAUACAUCUAUAGAGGGAGUAUGUUUGAAGAACCACGGAACGUGUGG